rnacentral:sRNA from 18 species
AUGUACCACUCAUCCACUCCGGUUCCUCCGCGCCGUCCCGGCCACCUGACGGCUGCUCGCCACGUUCUGUUACCG